rnacentral:rRNA from 1 species
UCGAGGAUCUUCGGCAAUGGGCGCAAGCCUGACCGAGCGACGCCGCGUGUGCGACGAAGGCCUUCGGGUUGUAAAGCACUGUCGAGGGGGAGGAAAGCCCGCAAGGGUCUGACCUAUCCCUGGAGGAAGCACGGGCUAAGUUCGUGCCAGCAGCCGCGGUAAGACGAACCGUGCGAACGUUGUUCGGAUUCACUGGGCUUAAAGGGCGCGUAGGCGGGUGGUCAAGUCGGGGGUGAAAUCUUUCAGCUCAACUGGAAAAUAGCUUUCGAUACUGGCCAUCUCGAGGGGGGUAGGGGCAUGUGGAACUUCCGGUGGAGCGGUGAAAUGCGUAGAUAUCGGAAGGAACGCCGGUGGCGAAAGCGACGUGCUGGACCCUCACUGACGCUGAGGCGCGAAAGCCAGGGGAGCAAACGGGAUUAGAUACCCCGGUAGUCC